GCCAAGGUAGCUCAGUUGGUAGAGCGCACGACUGAAAAUCGUGUGGUCGGCAGUUCGAGUCUGCCCCUUGGCACCA
rnacentral:tRNA from 1 species